UUUUAGUUUGUAUAAAAUUUAUUAACUCAAUCAAUUAAUUGCUACAUGUUAACCGUUCUAACAAAAAUAGGUUCUGUCGUACAUUAGAUAAAUUCUAACUUGUGUUAACCAUUUUCUUCUACUAAUUUUGUUUUUUAUCUCUAUUAAUAUUUUAUUCGUCCUGGUAUUAAAAACUGUUGUCAUAUUUUUUAAUUAAUUUUCUAUUAACUCCAAAUGUAAUUAGUGUAUGCAGCCUUUUUAGAGUUGAAUUCUUUUUUUUUUUUUUUUAAAUUUUAGCAAUAAAAUUUAAUAAUAAAAACCUUGUGUUCUACAUCUAUGCUUUGCUGAUAACCGCAUAGCAUAUAUGCCAUUUAAAUGUAAGCUAAUAUCAUUACUUAAAUUUUAGUAAGAGGCAAGGACUAAAUAGAAGGUUGCAGGAGCAUGUUUAUUUUAAUCCAGUGUUUUUUAAUAAAUUACCAGGUUUUAAUAAAAAUUAAAAAAAUAGAUUUAUUAUUUUUGUAACACUUUUUAAUUUAUUUUUGUAAGUUAAUAGUUUAAAGUAUAAAGUCAUACUUCAAAGUUUUAGUCGAACUUCACUCAAGAUCACUUCUUGCAUUCCACCCUAAGAAGUUGACUUAAUUUUAGCAAACAAAAAUUAUCAUAGAGAGUCAUAGCUAAUCGAGUUAAAAAUUUUCUAUUCUGAUGAGAAAAUAUGUUUCCUGAUUUUUCAAUCAUGCUAAUUUUUUUAAAUCUAAUGACAUAAAUACAAAAAUUCAAAACAAAACAGUUUAAAAGAAGGCUUGUUGUAAAAGUCUCUUUUGCAACAAAAAGUUUCAAAAGAGACUUUUAGUUAAUAAAAUUUUUUUCUAAUAUUACACAUAAUCUUGCAUACAACUUUAUAUAAGUUUAACUUAUUACGUUGGACUAAGAAUACAGAAGCUGUAGGCCCUAUAAAAAUGAAACAAGAACAAAUUAAACAACAACUAUUCAGAGCAACUUUAAAGUUCCUCAAGUUUUAAAAAUUUCUUUUUUUGUUAUAAAGUUUAUAAAAAAAAUACACUCAUAACUUUAUAUUUUUCAUUAGGGUUUAAGUGUGAUCAUGUCUAAUUUAAAAGUAAAUUAUACUGCAAGGAUAUUUUGAUAACCAUUUAAAUUUCUAUUUUCUUUUUGUUUGAGUAGUAGUUCAUGAAAUGUUUGCAUAGCUAAUAAAGCUAUGAAUUAGCCUGUAAUUGAUUAAUUUAAGACUUUAUGUAUUAACAUCAGUGUAUAUUUAAUACAUCAAUUUUAUGGUUUUCGUAAUUUUUGACUGGAUAUGUUUUAUAUGAGAAAAUUAGGCAAAUAAACUAGGUAUUAUAUGAAAGUUUGUUAAAUCAAACCAAUUGUUUUUUUUUUUAAAUUUAACUCAAUAUUCAUUUCCGCAUAUAUUUUCUUGAUAUCCUGAAUUCAGUUUUAAAGAUGCAUUACAGAAUUCAUUUAUAUAUGUUUAAAGCGGAAGUCAACCAGAAUCAAUCCUUGCGGGACUCUACAUAAGACAUUCAUUAUUCCAGAUUGGACAUCAUGCAAUUAUCGCUUUCUGUUGUUUGGAUAUAUACAAUGGAGGAAAUUUUGGUAAUUUGUGUUUUGUGUAAAAAAUCUACUGAUAAUGAUAAAUAUCAUUUUGGAUGUUAUAAAUUAUGGGAAAAUGAUCUGCUCAAGAUAUAUGCAAAACAUGCACUGACUCAAUAUAAGUGGUAUUUCUUAUCAAGUAAAAGUUGUUAUAGUUGAAAGAGCUUUUCAAAAAUUCACAAAGCAAUCAAUUUGUGAAAGUUCAUUAUCAGCAUUGAAAGUCAAUUUUUGUGGGUCAAGUAUACAGUUACAGACAUAUUAUAUAUAGUUUUGGUACGAAACCAAAAAGAACCUUAUGGACCAAGAUUUGAUGUAUUUACUGACAAAUCAACAAAACGAUGAUCUAUUGUUGGCUUUAGGCAAAUUCUCUGACAAUUUCAAGCAUAAUAAUUUUACAUUUAAAGUCUUGGUCCCUAAAGCAAUAUUGUGUCUGUUUGCUGAAUUGGAAGGAAUCUCAAGAUAUAAAGCUGAAGUAUUGUUAAGUUCUUACUCUUUACAAAGAACCAACAAGUUAGUGAAUAAAUUGUCUGAUGAAGACGAUGAUUUUUUUUUAGAUAAAAUGUGAUAACUCCAUUCCACAUUGAUGGUUUCACUUGGAAUGCAUUGGUUAUGCUAAAAAAACAAGUGCUUUAUUUACAUGAUCAAACAUUCUCUUGCUAAUAUAGCUCUAAAAAAAUACGCCAGAAUUGGUUGAAAUAAGGCCGUGUAUCAAUGCGCCCAAAAAGUUGUCACACUUUAUUUAUCUCCAAUUAUCUCCAAAACAUUUAUCAGGUAUUAAUCAACAUAUGUUGAAACUGAUAGUUGAACAAAAGGAGGAGAUCAAGGAGCUAAGCACGAAAAUAAAAACAUGCAAUGCAAUGCUGAAUGUAGUAUUGUCAAAAUUAGGAUUAUGCUCAAACAACACUAAGGUUCCAGAUGGUUUCGAAAUAUAAGGGAGUUAGGAAGAUGCUACAAAUUUAGAUGACAAACUUGAAUGUAGUGAUUUUAAAAGUGCUAUGACUGGUUUCCUUGGAAUAACUGGUGGAACUGAUGUGAAUGAUACAGUUAGAAAGGUGUUAAAAAGUUUAUUUACGCACGAACUAGCACUUAAAAUCAACUUGAUGGGGAAAAAUGGAAAAUACAGUUUUUGCUCAUUAGCCUUAAGCAAUGUUGUAAUGCAAGCAGUUCGCUGCUGACCGCAUGCUGAUCCAGAUAGUGAAGAUGAAAACAAUGACUUUAAAUAAUCUACUUCUCAUUUGUUUAAAAUAAUAAUAAAGAAUAAUAAUGUUAA